AAAAUAACCAUGAUUGCCCUAGUAACGGCGAGUGAAGAGGCAAAAGCUCAAGUUUGGAAGCUCAAUGGUUUAACCAUUGCGCAUUGUAAACUGAAAACAGGAUCAAUCAGGUACACCGGGUGAUAAGUUCCUUGGAAUAGGACAUCAUGGAGGGUGAGAAUCCCGUCUUUGACCCGAGUCUAGUAUCUUUUGUAUUGGCCUGUUCAAGAGUCAGGUUGUUUGGGAAUGCAGCCUAAAGCUGGAGGUAAAUCCCUCCUGAAGCUAAAUAAUGGCGAGAGACCGAUAGCGAACAAGUACCGUGAGGGAAAGAUGAAAAGAACUCUGAAGAGAGAGUUAAACAGUACGUGAAAUUGCUUAAAGGGAAGCAUAUAAAGCUAGGAUGCGAUUGUUUUCUUCAGGUUGAGCUUUGGCUUGACUGUUCAGAAGGAUAAUCCAAGACAACAAGAAUUGGAGGAGGAGAAUAAGCCAUUGGGGAAGGUAAUCCUUCGGGAUGUUUAUAGACCUGAUGGUUCGCGCUCUUCUUUCGAUUGAGGUACGCUUUUUUUAAAGGUUGUUGUCUGAAUGGCUUUAUAUGGC
rnacentral:rRNA from 1 species